CUCAGAGGUUAUUGGGUUCUCUGCUCUGGCUCAGCAAUGUGAAAGUCAUCUUAUGAACCUCUGACAUUUGAUGAUCAUUAUGUCAAAAGCCUUUCGGGCUCACAUGAAAGGUAUAUAGAUGGAGAAAAGCACCAGAAAGUAGAGCAAUACAGGAUUUUAAAAAAACCACAACCAACCAAACAGGAGAUCCUGGAUGAAGCUUUCUCAACAUGAGAGGUACAGCAUUUAUCCUGUGUCAUGUAGACUGUUCUCUGCUUUGUCUGUCCUUUUUGGGUGCAUCUUAUCAUCAGUUCUGUGUGGGCCUGACUCCUGUUGUUGGCUUAUUGUGUGGUUACUUCUUAGGUUGUUAUCUGCCUUUCUGCUUGUUGCCUUCCAGUUCCUCUGUUAACAACUGACCAAAAAUAUUCCCUCAUUUCAGUAGGUGGCUAUAGCUCUAAUAGACAGUUCAUGCAUUCAUAGCAACAGUGCUCCUCUUUACUCAGUUUAAUUAUUUAUUGCAGAAGAGUGCAACUUUUUCAUAUUCCCCUAAACUGCCAAACAAAAAAAAAAAAAAAUCCAUUAAAAUUCCAUAAAAUCAGGGUGGAUUGAUUCCUUUCGAUA